rnacentral:rRNA from 1 species
CAACGAGCGCAACCCCUACGUUUAGUUGCUAACGCGUGGAGGCGAGCACUCUAGACGAACUGCCGUUGACAAAACGGAGGAAGGUGGGGAUGACGUCAAAUCAUCAUGCCCCUUAUGUUCUGGGCUACACACGUGCUACAAUGGCCGGUACAGACGGACGCAAAGCCGCGAGGUGGAGCAAAUCCUAAAAAGCCGGUCUCAGUUCGGAUUGCAGGCUGCAAUUCGCCUGCAUGAAGUCGGAAUCGCUAGUAAUCGCAGGUCAGCAUACUGCGGUGAAUACGUUCCCGGGCCUU